rnacentral:rRNA from 1 species
GACGAACGCUGGCGGCGUGCUUAACACAUGCAAGUCGAACGGAAAGGCCCUGCUUUUGUGGGGUGCUCGAGUGGCGAACGGGUGAGUAACACGUGAGUAACCUGCCCUUGACUUUGGGAUAACUUCAGGAAACUGGGGCUAAUACCGGAUAGGAGCUCCUGCUGCAUGGUGGGGGUUGGAAAGUUUCGGCGGUUGGGGAUGGACUCGCGGCUUAUCAGCUGGUUGGUGGGGUAGUGGCUUACCAAGGCUUUGACGGAUAGCCGGCCUGAGAGGGUGACCGGCCACAUUGGGACUGAGAUACGGCCCAGACUCCUACGGGAGGCAGCAGUGGGGAAUAUUGCACAAUGGGCGGAAGCCUGAUGCAGCAGCGCCGCGUGCGGGAUGACGGCCUUCGGGUUGUAAACCGCUUUCGCCUGUGACGAAGAGUGAGUGACGGUAAUGGGUAAAGAAGCACCGGCUAACUACGUG